CCUACGGGAGGCAGCAGUGAGGAAUCUUGGUCAAUGGACGAGAGUCUGAACCAGCCAAGUAGCGUGAAGGAUGACUGCCUUAUGGGUUGUAAACUUCUUUUAUAUGGGAAUAAAAUGUUCCACGUGUGGGAUUUCGUAUGUACCAUAUGAAUACGGAUCGGCUAACCCCGUGACAGCAGCCGCGGUAAUACGGAGGAUCCGAGCGUUAUCCGGGUUUAUUGGGUUUAAAGGGAGCGUAGGUGGGUUGUUAAGUCAGUUGUGAAAGUUUGCGGCUCAACCGGAAAAUUGCAGUUGAAACUGGCAGUCUUGAGUACAGUAGAGGUGGGCGGAAUUCGUGGUGUAGCGGUGAAAUGCUUAGAUAUCACGAAGAACUCCGAUGGCGAAGGCAGUUCACUGGACUGCAACUGACACUGAGGCUCGAAAGUGUGGGUAUCAAACAGGAUUAGAUACCCUAGUAGUC
rnacentral:rRNA from 1 species